AGGCAGCAGUGGGGAAUAUUGCACAAUGGGCGCAAGCCUGAUGCAGCCAUGCCGCGUGUGUGAAGAAGGCCUUCGGGUUGUAAAGCACUUUCAGUCGUGAGGAAGGCGGUGUAGUUAAUAGCUGCAUCGUUUGACGUUAGCGACAGAAGAAGCACCGGCUAACUCCGUGCCAGCAGCCGCGGUAAUACGGAGGGUGCGAGCGUUAAUCGGAAUUACUGGGCGUAAAGCGCAUGCAGGUGGUUUGUUAAGUCAGAUGUGAAAGCCCGGGGCUCAACCUCGGAAUUGCAUUUGAAACUGGCAGACUAGAGUACUGUAGAGGGGGGUAGAAUUUCAGGUGUAGCGGUGAAAUGCGUAGAGAUCUGAAGGAAUACCGGUGGCGAAGGCGGCCCCCUGGACAGAUACUGACACUCAGAUGCGAAAGCGUGGGGAGCAAACAGGAUUAGAUACCCUGGUAGUCCACGCCGUAAACGAUGUCUACUUGGAGGUUGUGGCCUUGAGCCGUGGCUUUCGGAGCUAACGCGUUAAGUAGACCGCCUGGGGAGUACGGUCGCAAGAUUAAAACUCAAAUGAAUUGACGGGGGCCCGCACAAGCGGUGGAGCAUGUGGUUUAAUUCGAUGCAACGCGAAGAACCUUACCUACUCUUGACAUCCAGAGAACUUUCCAGAGAUGGAUUGGUGCCUUCGGGAACUCUGAGACAGGUGCUGCAUGGCUGUCGUCAGCUCGUGUUGUGAAAUGUUGGGUUAAGUCCCGCAACGAGCGCAACCCUUAUCCUUGUUUGCCAGCGAGUAAUGUCGGGAACUCCAGGGAGACUGCCGGUGAUAAACCGGAGGAAGGUGGGGACGACGUCAAGUCAUCAUGGCCCUUACGAGUAGGGCUACACACGUGCUACAAUGGCGCAUACAGAGGGCAGCCAACUUGCGAAAGUGAGCGAAUCCCAAAAAGUGCGUCGUAGUCCGGAUUGGAGUCUGCAACUCGACUCCAUGAAGUCGGAAUCGCUAGUAAUCGUGGAUCAGAAUGCCACGGUGAAUACGUUCCCGGGCCUUGUACACACCGCCCGUCACACCAUGGGAGUGGGCUGCAAAAGAAGUAGGUAGUUUAACCUUCGGGGGGACGCUUACCACUUUGUGGUUCAUGACUGGGGUGAAGUCGUAACAAGGUAGCGCUAGGGGAACCUGGCGCUGGAUCACCUCCUUAAACGAUGAU
rnacentral:rRNA from 1 species